GACGAGCGUUGUGCGGGGGCUUCCGGUGGUUCCGAGGGUGGCUCCGUCGCCAGGGUGUGUGUGUGUGUGUGCGGGCGUGCGGGCGUGUGUGUGUGUUUGCACAGCCAAUCCACAAAACAAAUCGAGAGUCAACGCCGUGAGCCUCGCCCCCCCCGCCCCUGCAAAGGGAAGAGCGGGCCGAGCCACGCCAGCACGGCCGAUCUUUUUCUCACCCCCCCUCUCGGGUCAAACCGAAAGGCGAGAUAGAGGCCGGCCGUGGCCACCUUCGACUACGACCUCAGAUCAGACGAGACAACCCGCUGAAUUUAAGCAUAUUACUAAGCGGAGGAAAAGAAACUAACCAGGAUUCCCUCAGUAACGGCGAGUGAACAGGGAAGAGCCCAGCGCCGAAUCCCCGUCCGACAGGCGGGCGUGGGACAUGUGGCGUAUGGAAGACCGCUUGCCCGGUGUCGUGCGGGGGCCUGAGUCCUUCUGAUCGAGGCUCAGCCCGUGGACGGUG
rnacentral:misc_RNA from 1 species